ACAUAGUACCUCCCUCCUACCCUCACUGUCACAUUGCAGGCCCCUGCCAGCUCCUGCACCCAAGGAAACGGCCAAAAUUGCCUUUUAAAAACUUUAAUUCUGUUUUUUGUUUUGUUUUGCUUGAACAAGGAGAUCAGCAGAAUCCAGCCCCAGCUGGACAGGUUGAUUAUACCAAGGCUUGGGAAGAGUACUACAAGAAAAUGGGUCAGGCAGUUCCUGCUCCGACUGGGGCUCCUCCAGGUGGUCAGCCAGAUUAUAGUGCAGCCUGGGCUGAGUAUUAUAGACAACAAGCAGCCUAUUAUGCCCAGACAAGUCCCCAGGGAAUGCCACAGCAUCCUCCAGCACCUCAGGUAUAAUGUAAUUGCUAAUUUGUUGAUUUCUACUCCAGUCUGUUUUCUGCAUGUUUACUGUUUGUCUGUUUGGGAGUGUUUGCCUUUUAAAUUUUUAUCUGGCAAAGUAUAAUAACUAUUUAAAUGAAGUACUACGGUGUAUUGUUUGGGUUUUUUUUGUUUUUUAUAAUGCUUUCCAGCAUCUGA
rnacentral:sRNA from 1 species